GAGCUAAGCAGGCAUUCUGGGACAUUGAGGGAUAAGUAAGGCGCCAUGUCAUCUCUUACUCUCUCUCUGGGGAAACGGCUCUCCAGAUAGCGAGACUCCGGACUUUCAGUUAGGUUGUUACCAGAGCUCCAAAUCAGCCCAGCUGGAACAAAUGACUGUAUUUCUGACGCAGCAUCAGGAGCCACUCUUGUCCGGUUUGGAAGGGAAUUGCUGGAAUCCCUGAUGGUCACAGGGAUGAAGUGACAGAGACUGUUGCAGCCCCUGAUGUGUGAUGAGAAUUGACCGGAUUUGCUACUUUCUGGAUGAGAAUGGCCCAGAGGAAGAGCACACAGUGGAGAUAAAGAGCUGAGUGCCAAGAAAACCGAAUCUGCGGGUCAGCUGGGAUGCAGAUGAACAUCUGUGCCGAGAAAAGGAAGCCAAGGACCAUUUCUUCCACGCUGAAAUAACCAUACAGAAUUCUACCUCCAGAAAAGCUCUCUCUCUCUCUCUCUCUCGCCAUGAAUUUUUCUCUUAAAAAUGUCACCAACCCUCCCCCACACCCAAAAAUAUUGCUUUCACGGAAAUCAGUCACGUUGAAAGGUGUUGGGCUCUCUCCUGCCAGGAGUGUUUGUUUCUUGUUUCAGUUUUUCGAUCCAAAGGCCCAAGCAAACCCUGUGUUUUGCAUCCUUAUGAAACAUUGGGUUUCACUGAUCAGAAGUUGAAGCUGACAGUCAGGUUUUGCAAUGACAGGUACACAAUAAAGAAAUAUGUCCUCUUAUUCCUUUCUAGGCCAGAUUAUUUCACAACAAUUAUCUGAAAAUCUCCAACGCUCUCUGUGCUCAAAACCAAUUGUCUUUAUUUUAAUAAUUAAGUUGACGUGGCAGUGGGUGACAGCUGCAGUUGGAUUCCACGGCGAAGCCAGCCCGGCUUUCACUGUCGCCAUGGAGUCACCCUGGCUGGGUGUCAGAAUAUUUAAGCCAUUGAAUGUAACCAAAUUUGUAGUCAGGCAGGGCGCACAUUUCCAAGCAAACACACUUUGUGUGUGUGUGUCACACCACACACUUUCUCACCCAAUCCCAACGGCAUCAGCAAGAUCUGCUGUGCCCACAGCGACAAGAUACCAGCUAGAUGGAAAGGACAUUUCUUAGGAAGCAGUUUUGUUCCCAUCUAGUUCCCUGAAGCCCAAAUGAGGCCAACAUGGUAAGUUUUUUUGGCUUUGCAAUCCAUAUGGUCUCAGGCACAGUUAUUCAACUCUGCCCUUAAAGCGUGAAAGCAUCACAGACAAUACGUCAACAAACAGGCGUAGCUCUGGUCCAAUAAAACUGUAUUUACAAAAACAGGCAGCAGGAAGAUCUGGGUCCAUGGACUGCAUCAAGCAGUCAUCGGCCUGUUUUAUUUAUAACAAAACACAGACCACUUUCAUUUAAAUUCUUAAUCCCUCUCUGACUAUUGAAAUGAUGAAAUAUUAGAAGUGGGGAGAGAGAGACUGGGCUUCAAAAGUCAAACUUUGCAGGGUGAUUGGGCUCCAGGGCAAUCCAACUUGUAUUUUCCAUGGACUCUCCAGGAGAUACCUGUGCCCACGGUUAUCCAUGUAACAGAUGACCUCCCUGUAGUUGAUCUCAUUCGAUUCUUGUGACAAACUUGUGAUUUUUUUUCAGUGUCUCACCCAUGUCAUCAAUGCUGAGAGCAAAUGUAGAAUCAGGGUUUUCAACUUGCCUUUUGGUACCAGAGCUUUUAUUUUUGGGCAGCAAGCCAUUCCAUUUGGGACCUGAUUUUUGGGGUGGUGAUUGUGAUGGCCUAGAAGUGGUCCUAAUUCAGCUCUUGAUAGGCAAUUACUGUUAGAAGUGAAAAAGAAAGUAAAUAUUUUCUAUACUAUUAAAUUAAUGGGGACAGCAAGAAUGAAUAAUUUAAGGAAAAACAGAAACAUGCCUCAAAUUCUCAUUUUUUCCCUUUAAUAACAGUAUUUCUCUGCCUAAAUUAUAGAGGUAAUUGCCUCCAUGAUCCAUUUGGCUUCCCCAUGGAGACAACACCUUAAUAGUCUUUUAUGCAGGCCCCUGCAACUUCAAAAAGAGACUCAAAAUGAUUCACUCGUGGCCAGCUGGCAUUAGAGCAAUCUGUUAUGUAGGCUGUUGGCUUCUGUACAAUUUCACUGUUACAACUUUUAUUCCACAAAAAGCUAAAAGAAGAGAUAAACUGCAGCAUUAAGAUUUUUUGAUACAGACAUUGAGCCAUCAGCACAGGAAGUCAUGUUCAUGGAUUAUGUCUUUAACUCUCCUGUCUGCCCAAGAGCUAACUGACUUACAAUAUUACGCUCUGACUUUCAUCUCUGUGGAUGGAUUUUCUCCAACAAGAGCACAAUGUUUUGGAGAAACUGUCUGAAAUCUCUUUACCACAUUCGUCUAAGAUCACAGGGUUUACAAUUUCCAUUCUUCAGUUUCUUUUUCUUAAAUGGCUCUUUUAGAGAAAACCAAGUCAAAUGAUUGCAUGGUUGUAUGUAUAUGUAAAAUCUGAGAAUGUUGGCUAUUUCUAAAGGCUUUGGUGAUACUGAAAUUACAUAAAUAUUAAGAUUAUAGAGCUUCUUGUUAACAGAAAGUUAGAUGAAAUUGACUUGAUUGGGAAAGUCUAGGCAUAUAGGAGCACUGACCUUCACACUACAGAGAUCAUAUUGCUGAAAUCCAAGAUGAAAAACAAUCUGACACAUAUAGAUAUAUCUUUUCCUGUUCAAACUGAUGUAAAGGGAGAGAAGACAGACUCGGGAAUCCAACUGAUGGUUUACCGCGCGGCACUAAAUUUCCUGGGGUGCCUAAGAUCCCAUCGCUUGACUAUAAAAAUUGAUAUGCUACAAGGAGACAAUUUUAUUUUCUUAACCUAUUUAAAAACAGAUGGUGGGACAUAAACUACAAUCACUGACCAUAUCACCUAUUGAGAUGAGAUAUGAAUUGCUUUCCUAGUCUUUAAAAGUCGUGUCUCCAGGCCCUGCUUGGUGGUGCAACAGGUUAAAGCACAGCACUAAGAAGCUAAAGUCACUUCAGCAUGAG